rnacentral:rRNA from 1 species
UGGGGAAUUUUGGACAAUGGGCGAAAGCCUGAUCCAGCAAUGCCGCGUGUGUGAAGAAGGCCUUCGGGUUGUAAAGCACUUUUGUCCGGAAAGAAAUCCUUGGCUCUAAUACAGUCGGGGGAUGACGGUACCGGAAGAAUAAGCACCGGCUAACUACGUGCCAGCAGCCGCGGUAAUACGUAGGGUGCAAGCGUUAAUCGGAAUUACUGGGCGUAAAGCGUGCGCAGGCGGUUUGCUAAGACCGAUGUGAAAAUCCCCGGGCUCAACCUGGGAACUGCAUUGGUGACUGGCAGGCUAGAGUAUGGCAGAGGGGGGUAGAAUUCCACGUGUAGCAGUGAAAAUGCGUAGAGAUGUGGAGGAAUACCGAUGGCGAAGGCAGCCCCCUGGGCAAUACUGACGCUCAUGCACGAAAAGCGUGGGGAGCGAACAGGAUUAGAUACCCUGGUAGUCCACGCCCUAAAACGAUGUCAACUAGUUGUUGGGGAUUCAUUUCCUUAGUAACGUAGCUAAACGCGUGAAGUUGACCGCCUGGGGAGUACGGUCGCAAAGAUUAAAAACUCAAAAGGAAAUUGACGGGGUCAUAGCUGUUUCCU